rnacentral:sRNA from 1 species
GGCCACCGGAGCUCUGGCCAAGGCCCCAGGAGUCAAGAAGCGCACAGAGGGCAUGGAUGUGCUGGAAAGGGGAGGUGCUGGCCUUUUAAAGAUCAUAUGGCUUGGACAAGGAACAUGAGCACUGAGAUCUGCUAUAAUCAACACUCUUAUUGGAAGCAUUACUGUUCCGUGAAAAAUCGCCUGUGCCUGGGCUUCUCUUGCAUUCUGCAGACCUCCUAUUGUUUUCUAAUGCCACGCUGGAGAAAUGCUCAUCUAUAUGUGUUUUUGUUAGAUCAGCCAAAGACAUAGCAAACAACCUAAUAAAAGAAAAGUAAAACCUAA